UCAGAUUGAACGCUGGCGGCAGGCCUAACACAUGCAAGUCGAACGGUAACAGGAAGCAGCUUGCUGCUUUGCUGACGAGUGGCGGACGGGUGAGUAAUGUCUGGGAAACUGCCUGAUGGAGGGGGAUAACUACUGGAAACGGUGGCUAAUACCGCAUAACGUCGCAAGACCAAAGAGGGGGACCUUCGGGCCUCUUGCCAUCAGAUGUGCCCAGAUGGGAUUAGCUUGUUGGUGAGGUAACGGCUCACCAAGGCGACGAUCCCUAGCUGGUCUGAGAGGAUGACCAGCCACACUGGAACUGAGACACGGUCCAGACUCCUACGGGAGGCAGCAGUGGGGAAUAUUGCACAAUGGGCGCAAGCCUGAUGCAGCCAUGCCGCGUGUAUGAAGAAGGCCUUCGGGUUGUAAAGUACUUUCAGCGGGGAGGAAGGUGUUGUGGUUAAUAACCGCAGCAAUUGACGUUACCCGCAGAAGAAGCACCGGCUAACUCCGUGCCAGCAGCCGCGGUAAUACGGAGGGUGCAAGCGUUAAUCGGAAUUACUGGGCGUAAAGCGCACGCAGGCGGUCUGUCAAGUCGGAUGUGAAAUCCCCGGGCUCAACCUGGGAACUGCAUUCGAAACUGGCAGGCUUGAGUCUUGUAGAGGGGGGUAGAAUUCCAGGUGUAGCGGUGAAAUGCGUAGAGAUCUGGAGGAAUACCGGUGGCGAAGGCGGCCCCCUGGACAAAGACUGACGCUCAGGUGCGAAAGCGUGGGGAGCAAACAGGAUUAGAUACCCUGGUAGUCCACGCCGUAAACGAUGUCUACUUGGAGGUUGUGCCCUUGAGGCGUGGCUUCCGGAGCUAACGCGUUAAGUAGACCGCCUGGGGAGUACGGCCGCAAGGUUAAAACUCAAAUGAAUUGACGGGGGCCCGCACAAGCGGUGGAGCAUGUGGUUUAAUUCGAUGCAACGCGAAGAACCUUACCUGGUCUUGACAUCCACAGAAGAAUCCAGAGAUGGAUUUGUGCCUUCGGGAACUGUGAGACAGGUGCUGCAUGGCUGUCGUCAGCUCGUGUUGUGAAAUGUUGGGUUAAGUCCCGCAACGAGCGCAACCCUUAUCCUUUGUUGCCAGCGGUUAGGCCGGGAACUCAAAGGAGACUGCCAGUGAUAAACUGGAGGAAGGUGGGGAUGACGUCAAGUCAUCAUGGCCCUUACGACCAGGGCUACACACGUGCUACAAUGGCGCAUACAAAGAGAAGCGACCUCGCGAGAGCAAGCGGACCUCAUAAAGUGCGUCGUAGUCCGGAUUGGAGUCUGCAACUCGACUCCAUGAAGUCGGAAUCGCUAGUAAUCGUGGAUCAGAAUGCCACGGUGAAUACGUUCCCGGGCCUUGUACACACCGCCCGUCACACCAUGGGAGUGGGUUGCAAAAGAAGUAGGUAGCUUAACCUUCGGGAGGGCGCUUACCACUUUGUGAUUCAUGACUGGGGUGAAGUCGUAACAAGGUAACCGUAGGGGAACCUGCGGUUGGA
rnacentral:rRNA from 2 species